CCAUAUCUUCCAUGUGUUCAAUGUAGCAUCCUAGCCCCAUCAGUGUUAUGAAUGCUUCAUUCCAGGCACAAGCUCAAACUGAAAAUAAAUUAUUCAGGCUGAAAGUCAAAGAAGAGUAUGUUUCAGAAGUUGUCAGAAUUUGAUUGCUUGUUGAUGCCUUUAUAGAGGUAGUGUUCUGGGGGACAGAGUUUUCACACGAAUACUCUCUCCUUCAGUGUGCUGGAGGCUUUAAUAGCCCACCUUCUUCCAGGUGAAAAUCUGGUUUUGCCUUCUGUUUUUCUGGUUUCUGUAGGUAGUAAAGAAAAGUAAACAGAAAGACCGAUACAAAAGAGAAAUGAGAGAAAAACCACAGAUCUCAGCACAAGGAAAAUUUAUGGAUUUUAAAAUGAAGCUCCAGGCUGACUUUCCACAACUUAAAAGGCUGAGAUGAAAAUCAAGAGAUUGCUCAGCAAACACCUUGCACCAGGUUCAGCUAAGGCACCUGCAGGGAGCAGUGUGAUUCUGGAGUCCAACCGAACAAUUGUGGUGGUUUCUCUCGUUUCAUCUCAUUGAUGUUGCUACUUUCAAUGUUUCAUCAGGGACAGGAGAGAUCCCUGAUGAGCAGGGAGAAGCAGAGUAACUCCAGAGGUCCUUAAAGAAAUCAUUCAGAUCUGUAUGCUGACCUGAGUUCAUUCUGGAUUUGGCUUCCCUGUCUGAAUCCCCUAGGCACGCUCCUAGUUUCCUCUGGUGCAUUCAUCUUCCAGUGACUGUCUUGGUAAAAGAACCAUAUAUAACCUGUCAAAUAAUCUAAUGGAGCAGAACAUGAGCAUUGUCUGUGGCAUGUUUAGCUUUAACAGACUGUGCUGAGCCUUUGUAUGUUAAUAUACAGAUAAUGUUGUCAGUCAAGUUCUGUGCAUUUUCCCUAACAGUGUGAAGUUAACACUGAGAUUAGGUGUUACUACAAAGCCUCAAAAACUGGGCUGAGGUUUUUGCAAGGAGAUUUAUGUACCUAACUCGUAUUGAAUUUUUGUUGGCUGCAGGGACCUAAGUUCCUUAAACGUUUCAGUGCUAAAGGAUUACCCUUCCUCUUCUUUGUAUUUUACUCCAGGCAGAACAGAUACAGGCUUCUUACAAAGAAAUAGUUGUUUUUAGUUUUAAGCAAAUCAAACCUAAGAUAUGAAUAAGCCUAUUUUGGAAGGGUUUGAAAAAUUAUACAGAAUUGCUAUUAGGAUAAACUCCUUACAUACUGGAGACAAGCUGUAAUGUUUUGUGCUAUUUUAGUGACUUUUCCUUGAAAGUUGCCUACUUGUAUCUUUUUAUUUUAAAUAAUUUCUAGGAUUCAGAUUGGUUAAUGUACCAUUAAA